rnacentral:ncRNA from 3 species
CAAGAAUAGUAUGGGAGCUUGCGCGGGGCAGGCUGAGAGUACAGGGACGCCUGUUGACCAUUUGAACCUGUUGGAUAAUGCCAGCGCAGGGAAUGUGAGUACAUACCAA